rnacentral:tRNA from 1 species
GCGGGUGUCGUACAAUGGCAGUACUCCAGCUUCCCAUGCUGGUGGCGUGGGUUCGAUUCCCAUCACCCGCUCCA